rnacentral:lncRNA from 1 species
CCUCAGGGCUGAACAAGGGUUAUUAAUACACUUCUAUUGCUCUCUGUGGGAGAAGAGACAUCUAGAAAAUCAGCAGGAAAUAGCUCAGAGAGAUAUUUUAGUAUUAUCUAUGAUCCUAGUGGCCCUUUUUAUAUGUUUAUUAAUACAAAUAAUGCUGGUGGUGUUCCGGACUUGUCUUUUUUUUUGUGAUGUAAAUUACAAUUUCCCUCAUAUUUGUAAGGAGGCUGGAUCCAGAGAAGUUUCAAACAGAGGAAGAUAGUAGUGUGGAGCUCCCCUGUCCAUGGCUUUGGUGACCUUCUCGCAUCUUGUAAAAUCAUAAUGGCAUGGCAUAUUUCUUUAAAUUUUGGUCAGUGUAGCUGUACAGGUUACAUGCUCCAGUUGAAUAAGAGGGGAGGAAGAGAACAGAGUGUGACAUGAGGGGACCUGGUCAUGUCCAGGUCCAGAGCUAUGGCUAUCAAAGACAGGAGAACCAAAACCAGAACAACCACCCUCUGCCACCACGAGGAAUCCUUGCUUCCAUGCCCUUGCCAUCUCAGCUUCAUCCCAAAGGCUACCCAACUCAUGUCUCCCUGAUGAGAAGCACACAGCCUGCCCCUCCAGCCCCAGCAUGACAUGGCUCACCACUAGAGUUCUGCCCACUGUGACAUGGCCACUCUGUUGCUUGGGCUCAUGCUAGGAACUCAGACAGGGACCAGCUCCCAGCUACCAGGUAAACAGAUUGCAGAGCUGCCUUUGCCUGUGACCAUGGGAGCUUCCAUCUCAAUGAAAAAAAAAGUGAGAUCCACAUCAUGGUUGUCCAUUUGCUGCUCUGCCUUGAUUCUGGGCUCCAUUCAGAAAGGACCUUGGCAAGGUCCAGGCUUCCAAGUGGAGCAGCACUGAAGUCACUUGGAGACCACUGGGAGCUAUGUGAGCCACAGCUUGGGUUAAGGAUAUUAACUGCACACAUGCAAAACAGUGACUGAAAAACUGAUAAACUGUGAUGAAUGUGAUGACACCAUUAUAAUAACAUGAUGCUAAAAAGCAGUUAUAAAUGCUGUCCUUCAAGAAUGAAACAAACAGUUGAGUCACAAUUCAUCAAUUAUUCCUAGGAGACAUCUUAAAUUGGAUGUUUUGACAAAAUAUCAGCAAAAUGGUUAUUCUCAAUGACUAGAAGGAGC